GUGAAUCAUCGAAUCUUUGGACGCAAAUUGCACUCUCCUCGGAGAGUAUGCCUGUUUGAGGGUCAGCCUAAAAAAAAUCGACAUCGUUGCUGUUCCGCGGUGACGUUCGUCGGAAAUUGGGUUAUCUUAACCUUUUGGGUUAAGCGACUUUAAAUUUUCCUUUUGAUUCCAUGAACGGUUCUAAGGUUUAUUUUCUUUACAGUUUAAGGGUCGGUUUUUUAUUUAGGG
rnacentral:misc_RNA from 1 species